CUACGGGGUGCUCCAGUGGGGAAUAUUGCACAAUGGAGGAAACUCUGAUGCAGCAACGCCGCGUGGAGGAUGACACUUUUCGGAGCGUAAACUCCUUUUAUAUAGGAAGAAGAUGACGGUACUAUAUGAAUAAGCGCAGGAUAACUCCGUGCCAGCAGCCGCGGUAAUACGGAGGGCGCAAGCGUUACUCGGAAUCACUGGGCGUAAAGAGCGUGUAGGCGGAUUAAAAAGUCAGAAGUGAAAUCCUAUAGCUUAACUAUAGAACUGCUUCUGAAACUCUUAAUCUAGAAUAUGGGAGAGGUAGAUGGAAUUUCUGGUGUAGGGGUAAAAUCCGUAGAGAUCAGAAGGAAUACCGAUUGCGAAGGCGAUCUACUAGAGCAUUAUUGACGCUGAGACGCGAAAGCGUGGGGAGCAAACAGGAUUAGAUACCCCCGUAGUC
rnacentral:rRNA from 1 species